AACGAACGCUGGCGGCAGGCUUAACACAUGCAAGUCGAACGAGAUCUUCGGAUCUAGUGGCAGACGGGUGAGGAACACGUGGGAACAUCCCUUUCAGUUCGGAAUAACGUUGGGAAACUAACGCUAAUACCGGAUACGUCCUUCGGGAGAAAGAUUUAUCGCUGAAAGAUUGGCCCGCGUCUGAUUAGCUAGUUGGUGAGGUAAUGGCUCACCAAGGCUACGAUCAGUAGCUGAUCUGAGAGGAUGAUCAGCCACAUUGGGACUGAGACACGGCCCAAACCCCUACGGGAGGCAGCAGUGGGGAAUAUUGGACAAUGGGCGCAAGCCUGAUCCAGCCAUGCCGCGUGAGUGAUGACGGCCUUCGGGUUGUAAAGCUCUUUUGUCCGGGAAGAUAAUGACUGUACCGGAAGAAUAAGCCCCGGCAAACUUCGUGCUAGCAGCCGCCGUAA
rnacentral:rRNA from 1 species